rnacentral:lncRNA from 1 species
UUUUUUUUUUGUUUUUUGCUUGAGCGAAUGUACUUGGAGAUUUGAGGUUUGCGAGAGAGCUACAUUGUAAUUUAAAAAAUGAUAACGGGUUUUCUUUUUCAGUAUGUGGUUUUUCUUGACUUUUUAUAUUUUUUUUGGCUUCUUAAUAUUUACUAAAUAAGGAUUAUAUGAGAAAAUAAUAAUAAAAUUAGUCUCCAUUUUCGACAUAAUUGUCAACAUGUUCUUGCAUUUCCUAGACAUGCAUUGGCAAGCCCAAGACAUAGAUUGGCACCUUUAGUUUAGUCGAUUGUAUACCUCUAAUCAUUCUCUACAAACUCCUUUCACAUUUGGGAAUCGACUAUUCCCACUUUUCGACGAAUCAUUCCACUCUUGGACAGGCUCCUUCGCUCGUUCCUCCCACCUGGGAGUCACGAGCUUACUAUCCCUCAUUAGGCAAAAUAGAUAGGUCAAGGACAGGAUAAGGGUUUUUUUUCAUGGAUGAUAAACAUAACACACAAAAUUAGAAAUUCAUAACACACGAAAGUUAAGAAAAAAAUGCAAAAAUUUCUUAUUAGAGAACCAAAUUAGAACCAUGGUUAUCUUGAUGAAAAUAAUGAAAUUUCAAUUUAUUCACUGUGAGUCACAAAUAUUUACCUAAAGAUGUCCUCCCCAAAUGAGGUGUGAAGAAACGAUUCAGUUUGAAUAGCAAUGAGUGUAAAUUUCCUAAUAUGAAAGAAUAGGAAAUUGGAGAAGAAUAAUGUAUAUUGGGGGUCCGUUUGGUGCACAUUUUUUUAGAUGAAAA